CAGCCGCCGCGGUAAUACGGAAGGUGCAAGCGUAACUCGGAAUUACUGGGCGUAAAGCGUCCGCAGGCGACUCUGUGUGUCUGGCGUAAAAGCACGAAGCUCAACUCCGUGUACGUGCCGGAAACUGCAGAGAUUGAGUCAUUCAGAGGCAUCUGGAAUGCUAUGUGUAGGGGUAAUAUCCGUUGAUCCAUAGUAGAACGCCAAAAGCGAAGGCAAGAUGCUGGGAAUGUACUGACGCUCAGGGACGAAAGCGUGGGGAGCGAACGGGAUUAGAUACCCCGGUAGUCCACGCCCUAAACGAUGUGUGCUCGGUGUGGGAAUUUACAAUUGAUUUCCGUGCCUAAGCUAACGCGGUAAGCACACCGCCUGGGGAGUACGGCCGCAAGGCUAAAACUCAAAGGAAUAGACGGGGACCCACACAAGCGGUGGAGCAUGGGGUUUAAUUCGAUAAUAAGCGAAGAACCUUCACCCAGCCUGACAUCCGGAAAAUCCACCCGAAAGGGAGGAGUGCCGCAAGGAAUCCGGUGACAGGUGAUGCACGGUCGUCGUCAGCUCGUGCCUUGAGGUGUACUGUUAAGUCAGCGAACGAGCGCAACCCUCAUCCUAUGUUGUUUUUUCAUAGGAGACUGCCGCCUCCAAGGCGGAGGAAGGUGAGGAUGACGUCAGAUCUGCGUGUCCCUUAUGCCUGGGGCAACACCCGUGCUACAAUGGCCGGUACAGAGGGCAGCGAACCCGCGAGGGGGAGCCAAUCCCACAAAACCGGUCUCAGUUCGGAUUGAAGUCUGCAACUCGACUUCAUGAAGUUGGAAUCGCUAGUAAACGUGAAUCAGCUACGUCACGUGAAUAUGUUCCUGGGUCUUGUACUCACCGCCCGUCAAGUCAUGAAAGGCAGGGGCGCCCGAAGGACCGUUACUCUUCGGAGGCGGUACCAAGGUGAAACUGCUGAUUGGGACUAAGUCGUAACAAGGUAACCGUA
rnacentral:rRNA from 1 species